GACGAAUGCUGGCGGCGUGCUUAACACAUGCAAGUCGAACGGAAAGGCUCCAGCUUGCUGGCGUACUCGAGUGGCGAACGGGUGAGUAACACGUGGGUAAUCUGCCCUGCACUCUGGGAUAAGCCUGGGAAACUGGGUCUAAUACUGGAUAUGACCUUUCUCCUUAUGGGGUUUGGUGGAAAGUUUUUCGGUGUAGGAUGAGCCCGCGGCCUAUCAGCUUGUUGGUGGGGUGAUGGCCUACCAAGGCGACGACGGGUAGCCGGCCUGAGAGGGUGAUCGGCCACAUUGGGACUGAGAUACGGCCCAGACUCCUACGGGAGGCAGCAGUGGGGAAUAUUGCACAAUGGGCGGAAGCCUGAUGCAGCGACGCCGCGUGAGGGAUGACGGCCUUCGGGUUGUAAACCUCUUUCAGCAGGGACGAAGCGUAAGUGACGGUACCUGCAGAAGAAGCACCGGCUAACUAUGUG
rnacentral:rRNA from 1 species